ACGUCAUCUCCUCUCCUCUCUGUCCAAAAACGCAAAACAGCAAGGAGGGGACUUCUCCUUCCGAGCGCAGGUGGAGCAGCCCCCUUCUCCUCCACGUCGGCCAUCCAUGACGCCCAAGCUCUCUGCGCCCUCUUCCCCAUGGCGUGUUGCAGCAGGCGAUCAGGACUCCCUCCUCCCCUCCACUCGGUUAGAGCGGCAGGAUUUGUGAUGCCCUUUGUGACGAUUCUGCGUGACUGCCUGCUCCCCCAUCCCCUCCGUCGUGGACACCGCCGAGACGCCUGCGAGCCGACUGCACGCUGGAACCCGCGACGAGCCGGCGUUCGAGGAACUGCUGUCGGUGAUGUUAUAUAUUACCACAUGCUGAGAUAUUUCUGCAAGUUCUAUGAAAUGGUAAUAAGAUAUUUCUGCAAAUUGUUAUAUAUGUUUUAUCUCCACAAACAUUUUUUAGAUUUGAUAUCAUUUUUAACCUUUAGAUUCUAAGAAUGUGCUCAGUUUGCAUUACAUGCACACAAUAGUUCAAGAAAAAAUAGCAAGAAAGAGAUAAAUGUCCUAGAAGAAAAUAGAUGAAUUAAUAGGGCAGUUAUAACCUUUUGUAAAAGAAGUUUUGGUCCCUGGAUUCAUUGUAAUAACGACUAACAUUAUUUUAGCCUCACAAUUUUCUUUAAUGGUCUAGCUUUGUAAUUGAUAACACAUUUUUUGGUUGAACUAUCAUAAAUUGAUGACAGUAUAAUCGAUGCAGCCAUUAUAUAGUUUUCUUUGUUGCGAUUAUGCUGCUCAUUAAUUAAAGAACACUAUCUGUCAAUCUGUAUAGUUUGCAUUACAUAAAUUCAUUUUAUGCCCAGAUUCUGGAAGCAAACCUUCUCGUAACUCAAAUGUUACAUAAACUAUAAUUCUGCUUUCCUGCAUCUCAUAUUUACAUAUCAGCGUAACUCAAAUGUUUACCUUCACUGUUAUGAGAUACAUUCACUAUUAUGACUGCAUCGAUGGAUCUGUCAAGGCAUACAUACAACCAGACAACACGAGGGAUCUACGGUCUCUUGCACUGUAUUACAUCACAUUCCAUCGCAAGAACAAAACCAUCCUGCUCCUUGCAGACAUCUUUUCACGGAUGUAGUCUAGUUUAGAUAUGUUAGGUAUUAUGUCUACAAUAUUUCAUAAACUUUAUCAGGAGUUAUGUGCAUAUAUUAUGGUAAUGACGGUAGAACAAUCAUGCUAAUUAUCCACACCCACCAGCAGGUAUGGUGGCAUGUUAUGUUGGCAUUGCAUAUGUUUUUUUAAUUACGAUCUAGUAAUGUUUUUCUAAGUUUAUUUGUUUGUGUAGAGGGAGGUAUUAUCUAGUGGAUGGUGGUUAUUCAAUUUGCGAAGCUUACUUGCCACCAUAUCGGAGUCAAAGAUAUCACUUAGAAGAUUUUCAUUGAAGACGAGCAGAAACUGUGGAAGAAAAGUUCAAUUUCCACCACUCAAGUCUGUGAAAUAUAGUUACUAUGGAAGUGUAAACUGUGGAAGAGACUUUUGGACUUCUCAAAUUAAGGUGGCAUGUGCUACGAGGACUCCUAAUGUACGAAAUAAGCAGACAUGUGAAGAUUGUAAUUGCUUGUUUUGCUUUGCACAACUAUUUGUUGGACCGAGGCCACAUAGGAGGAUCAGAGAGUAGUUCACAUGGCCAAGCUGAUUACUGAAAGGGAAUUAGGGUUACACCUAGUUCCUAUAUAAUUUUGGUGAUUGAAUUGUCCAACACAAAUCUUUGGAC